rnacentral:tRNA from 1 species
GCUGGGGUGAAGCUCGGUGGUGGAGCACUUGCCUAGCAUGCAUGAGGUCCUGUGUUCAAUCCCCAGUUCCAGGG